GAUGAACGCUGGCGGCGUGCCUAAUACAUGCAAGUCGAGCGAACAGACGAGGAGCUUGCUCCUCUGACGUUAGCGGCGGACGGGUGAGUCACACGUGGAUAACCUACCUAUAAGACUGGGAUAACUUCGGGAAACCGGAGCUAAUCCCGGAUAAUAUAUUGAACCGCAUGGUUCAAUAGUGAAAGACGGUUUUGCUGUCACUUAUAGAUGGAUCCGCGCCGCAUUAGCUAGUUGGUAAGUUAACGGCUUACCAAGGCAACGAUGCGUAGCCGACCUGAGAGGGUGAUCGGCGACACUGGAACUGAGACACGGUCCAGACUCCUACGGGAGGCAGCAGUAGGGAAUCUUCCGCAAUGGGCGAAAGCCUGACGGAGCAACGCCGCGUGAGUGAUGAAGGUCUUCGGAUCGUAAAACUCUGUUAUUAGGGAAGAACAAAUGUGUAAGUAAAUAUGCACGUCUUGACGGUACCUAAUCAGAAAGCCACGGCUAACUACGUG
rnacentral:rRNA from 1 species